GACGAACGCUGGCGGCGUGCUUAACACAUGCAAGUCGAACGGGAUCCGGGCUUUCGGGUUUGGUGAGAGUGGCGAACGGGUGAGUAACACGUGAGUAACCUGCCCCCUUCUUUGGGAUAACGUCGGGAAAUCGGCGCUAAUACUGGAUAUUCUUGCUGCAUCGCCUGGUGUGGUUUGGAAAGGGUUUCUGGUGGGGGAUGGGCUCGCGGCCUAUCAGCUUGUUGGUGGGGUGAUGGCCUACCAAGGCUUUGACGGGUAGCCGGCCUGAGAGGGUGUCCGGCCACACUGGGACGGAGACACGGCCCAGACUCCUACGGGAGGCAGCAGUGGGGAAUAUUGCACAAUGGGCGCAAGCCUGAUGCAGCGACGCAGCGUGAGGGAUGACGGACUUCGGGUUGUAAACCCCUUUCAGUAUGGAACAAGGAUCCUUCUUUUGGGGGGUUUGAGGGUACGUGCAGAAGAAGCGCCGGCUAACUACGUG
rnacentral:rRNA from 1 species